AUGAGUAGUAAUAAUUUAUGUAUAUAUUUUCUUGUUAUAUACCAUUGAAAUUAUGCAGAUCCAUUCCAGAAAUAUAAAAAAUUAAAUUAUUAGUUAAUUAAUAAAAAUAACCUAUUAUUAUGUUGCUACUUACAUUUAAUUAGACGAGAUAUUUGAUGUACAUUCGAAAAUUUAUUACUAUUAUCCAUAGUGAGAGAUGACUUUGAUAAUUCACAAUUGAUAAACUGGUGACGGUUUGUUUAUCAUUUGAAUUCUUGUUCUCAAAGGGUUUUAAAAGAUGAGACUUUCUCCUAGAGAAAGAGAUGGUCUUUUAUUGCAUCAGGCAGGAUUUGUGGCACAGAAAAGAUUGGCUAGAGGAUUGAGAUUAAACCACCCGGAAGUUAUAGCGUUAAUUUUCAUCACAGAUACAAGAAUUAAUUAGAGAUGGAUUAAGUGUUUCGGAAUUAAUGAACUUGGGAAAGCAGAUGCUGGGAUUUAGACAGGUAAUGCCUGGAAUAUCUGAAAUGAUU